rnacentral:tRNA from 1 species
GGAGAGGGCGCAAACUGGAUAGCGUGGCAGCCUCCUAAGCUGUAAGUCGUGGGUUCAAAUCCCACCGGGCUCGCCA